ensembl:lncRNA
CCCAUUUCUAAAACAGUCUUUGCUCUUACUGUGUUUGUUGUUUAUACCCAUUCCAGCCUUAGUACACUGAAUUAAGGUUAGGCUACCUUAAAGCAGAGAAUGUAAGGUCUUUGUCAUCAGUUACACAAAAGUGUAUAUGAAAGUGAAGUAUUUCCCUUUGGUACAGAACACGGAAGUGGAGCAUCUGAAAAAUAAGAAUUGCUUAAGUAGCAGUCGCAGGAGAUUAAAUGCAGUUAAGCAUAACGAAGCGUGAGGAUGACAAGAAAAAUGAAGCAGAGGUGCCUUAUCUCCCAAUUCAUCGCAGUACAAAUUUUAUAUUCCAGACACAAAUGCCACUUUGGGAUUGAAAUCGUACUACGUGAACCCGUGUGAUUUGCAGUGGCAACAUGCUGAUGGUGUGAAUUAGUCAUUAGUUUAUGACGCCGAGGAAAAGGACCACGUGAAAAUUUCUAUUAGCAGGACUGAGUCUCUUCAUUCUCAGUGCAGAAGUGCAGUACAACAGAAGAACAAAUACAUUCUGCAGGUGGAGAGAAGAGCCGUGGGUUCAUGGUAAGGACAGCAUCCAUCUGCCCCAGAUAAAUCUAAGCCCAUCUUCCCAGCUUGUAGGUGCCUUUGUUUACCUUUUGCUCCAUAACAAACCCAGAAACUCCCUGAUAAAAUUCCCUUCGGAUCAUGACCGUAGAGAAAUCCAUUCUGCAUUCUUAAAGCUUUUGUGGCAGAUAGCUUGUAAGCUGUAAGCAUAAAAAUCACGUACAAAUAAAUAAAUGUUGAGAGAGAAAUUAUGUGACAUAAAGUGUAUGUGAAAAUUAAUGUUGAAAAUGCUCUGAAUACGGGGAAGAAAUGAAAGGAUAGUUCCACAGCAGCAGCUGUAUCUGUUUUACCUUGAGAUUGUUAUCUCUGUAACUGAUUACAUCUCAAAAUCUUAAAACCAUUGACAGUUGUUAAGGGGAAACAAACUUGUGCAUUUGGCCAUGGCAGGUCUUUCCUGCUGUAAGCUUCACAGGAGUUUCUACCUCCACACUGAUCUUUUACAGCACUCUUAGGUGAUGUGUCUUCUCUUGUGCUUGUAAUCAUCUUUCCCUUCUAUUAUAUAUAAUAGGUAAUGUAUAUGUAUAUGCAAUAUAUAAAAUGCUCAAAAAGCUCACGAUUUAAGAGUAAUUAAGAUAUUACUACCUCAGAAACACAAAAUGUCACUCUUAUGUGCUCAUACUUGUUCUGCUGAGCCAGCCCAUCUCAGUGACAGAGGGAAGUGCAGAUAAUACAGACUGGCAUCAAGCAGUAGCUAUUCCUGUAAGCAGACAGAGCAGAAGUUAUCGCUGCAUUUCUUGACACAGAAACACAUGGAUGGCUCUGUACUGUGUGAAAAAAACACUGUAUUGCUGUGUGCUUAUGACAAAAAAAUAAGAAUCCUUUGUCAAUAGGAUACCAUUAUUUUUGGAUAAACAAAACCAAAAUCAAAAAAGAGCAAAUAAGCGGAUAUAUGCGAUGCAUGACACACAGUCCCAUAUGAUCAACAUCAGUUAUUUUGGCAAUCUACUUUCAGAAAUGGGAGUUUUCACAAGAGUGAAAAUUGCUUCUACAUCACUUGGAAGUGGAGCUUACUGCUGUCAGGUUGCCAGAACUCUUAAACGAGUGCUCAAGCAUCAUUCCCUCUUUCGGUGAUUUCAUAUAUUUAUACUUACUGUCACAACUAGGAGAGGAUCAGCAAGGAUUUGUUCCUUGUUCAGAAGAUCACGGAGUCUGCUACCUGCCAGCACGCUCUGCUUCCAGCAGCGGAAGCUCUUACUCAUCACCAAUCUUGUCCCUGACAUACUUCAGCAUCCAACAGUUCUUUCACACCUUCCGGGCUCCUAUAUUUAGGAAUUUCUUCUUCUCCCCGGUUGGCUCCAAGCCAGAAACAUAUCCCCUUACGUGGAAGAUUCUUAACUUUGCUCACGCUGCUUUUUUGACAUUUGCUUUCUUGGUAGGUUCUGCUUCUGUAGACUGUUGAGUACUAAGUGUAUGAUGAGAGUCUACAUGGUUUUCUACGUUAUAAAUCACAGAUAUGCUCAAGUUUGACAGGAUUCUUGAAUACUGGCUUGCAGCAUCCCAGAUCUGUAGUGCCAGAGAGAGAUGUGGACAGACCUUUGAUCUCGAGGGCCAGAAUUUGGUCACAUUCACAAACACGUUUGGAAGCUUGCAAAUGUGGCCAAGAGAGGGAAUAGGGGAUGUCACUGAUGAGCUGUGCAGAAAUGUCACCUCCUGGAGAACCAUCUAAUAGAUGGACUACAUCCGAGUUCCCCUAAUGCUCUCCAUCAAGCAGACACAUUUAGCACUGCUGCAGUCACAGCUGGAAUACACAGCACAGCAGUGUAUGUUGAAAUCCAGGACGCCCAGUUCAACAGGGAAGAGUGAGUAAUAUAAAUGGCAUUAACUGAACUUAAUUUCAGGAUGUUCUUCGAUGGAAAGCAUGCUCAUAUCUCAAAAUCAGUCCAUUCAGCAGGCAAAUAAACGGUUUCAACAUUUUUCAGGGAAAUCUCAGUAGCAUUCCUUGGGCUUGUAGGUCAUGCUUAGUACAGUCAAGCAGGCUUAAAUGCAACGUUAAUUACAGUUUUUUUUCCUUUUACAUAUUUUGAAUGGAACAUGACAACAAAUGUACACAUUCUUGUGUUUCUGAUGCAUUCUUUUCUUGCAGAAGCCCCAGUUGGUAGUAAAGCAGUUCACAGCACAGACCUUUCUGUGGAGAAGCUCAUGCAGCCGGCCGGCCAGCAAGCAGUUCUCACACUGCAGCAUCACGCUUAGCUGUGUCAAGCAACAUAUAAAUCAUGAAGACAAAGUGCUGUUGAGCAACAAGGCAGCUUUUCCCGGCCAGGUCAGUAAGAAGAAACCACAGUUAUCAAAUCAGUGUCUUGGCAUUGAAACUGCACAGCACCUCAGUGGAGCAGGUUAGUGGGAUCGGGUCCCUUCCUCCAGAGGAAGGUUUGUGCUGCUGUUUGGCCUCACCCACCUUCAGGCAGCUGAGUUUCUGUUGACUUGAAAGGAAAGCAAAAAGUGUGAAGUGCUGCUAAAAGGCCUCGUAUUGUCUGACAUCCUGUGACAAGAAAAAAAUAAACAACUUUGACCACAAGCCGUAAUGACUCUUACCUCUGUGUAAGCUGUCAGUGGCAUCAGUACUGCUGCAUCCUGCUUUUGGUUUUGCCUUGCUCGCUUGUGUUAUUCCGUGCAUUGCACAAAAAGCUUCCAGGACAUCUCCUGUAAGCCGGACUCUGGGAGCAGUUACAGCUGCCAGCCCAGCAAUAAAAAUACUGGGCCUAAAAGUCAUCCUGGUUUUGUUGUCUGUCACUGCAGUUUCCACGUGCAGAAGCAGCUACAUGGGAACUGCUACCUCCAACCAGGAGCAGCUGUCGGGAGGAACACCUAUCCAUGUGGCUCUGUGACAGUGUUGCAAGAUACCACAUUUGAUCUCUGGGUAAAAUAGAAAAGGCAGAAUG